rnacentral:rRNA from 1 species
UACGUAAGUGGCGAGCGUUAUCCGGAAUUACUGGGCGUAAAGCGUGCGUAGGCGGUUUAGUGUGUGGGAAUUGAAAGCCCGGGGCUCAACUCCGGAUCCGGUUCCCAAACUGCUAGACUCGAGAGUAUCAGAGGAGAGCGGAAUUCCCGGUGUAGCGGUAAUAUGCGUAGAUAUCGGGAGGAACACCAGUGGCGAAGGCGGGUUGCUGGGCUGACACUGACGCUGAGGCGCGAAAGCCAGGGGAGCGAACGGG